rnacentral:rRNA from 1 species
UACGUAGGGUGCAAGCGUUAAUCGGAAUUACUGGGCGUAAAGCGUGCGCAGGCGGUUAUGUAAGACAGUUGUGAAAUCUCCGGGCUCAACCUGGGAACUGCAUCUGUGACUGCAUAGCUAGAGUACGGUAGAGGGGGAUGGAAUUCCGCGUGUAGCAGUGAAAUGCGUAGAUAUGCGGAGGAACGCCGAUGGCGAAGGCAAUCCCCUGGGCCUGCACUGACGCUCAUGCACGAAAGCGUGGGGAGCAAACAGG